rnacentral:rRNA from 1 species
UACGUAGGGUGCAAGCGUUAAUCGGAAUUACUGGGCGUAAAGCGUGCGCAGGCGGCUUUGCAAGACAGAUGUGAAAUCCCCGGGCUCAACCUGGGAACUGCAUUUGUGACUGCAUGGCUGGAGUGCGGCAGAGGGGGAUGGAAUUCCGCGUGUAGCAGUGAAAUGCGUAGAUAUGCGGAGGAACACCGAUGGCGAAGGCAAUCCCCUGGGCCUGCACUGACGCUCAUGCACGAAAGUGUGGGGAGCAAACAGG